GCGGCGUUCUAUAAUGCAGUCGAGCGAAUGGAUUAAGAGCUUGCUCUUAUGAAGUUAGCGGCGGACGGGUGAGUAACACGUGGGUAACCUGCCCAUAAGACUGGGAUAACUCCGGGAAACCGGGGCUAAUACCGGAUAACAUUUUGAACCGCAUGGUUCGAAAUUGAAAGGCGGCUUCGGCUGUCACUUAUGGAUGGACCCGCGUCGCAUUAGCUAGUUGGUGAGGUAACGGCUCACCAAGGCAACGAUGCGUAGCCGACCUGAGAGGGUGAUCGGCCACACUGGGACUGAGACACGGCCCAGACUCCUACGGGAGGCAGCAGUAGGGAAUCUUCCGCAAUGGACGAAAGUCUGACGGAGCAACGCCGCGUGAGUGAUGAAGGCUUUCGGGUCGUAAAACUCUGUUGUUAGGGAAGAACAAGUGCUAGUUGAAUAAGCUGGCACCUUGACGGUACCUAACCAGAAAGCCACGGCUAACUACGUGCCAGCAGCCGCGGUAAUACGUAGGUGGCAAGCGUUAUCCGGAAUUAUUGGGCGUAAAGCGCGCGCAGGUGGUUUCUUAAGUCUGAUGUGAAAGCCCACGGCUCAACCGUGGAGGGUCAUUGGAAACUGGGAGACUUGAGUGCAGAAGAGGAAAGUGGAAUUCCAUGUGUAGCGGUGAAAUGCGUAGAGAUAUGGAGGAACACCAGUGGCGAAGGCGACUUUCUGGUCUGUAACUGACACUGAGGCGCGAAAGCGUGGGGAGCAAACAGGAUUAGAUACCCUGGUAGUCCACGCCGUAAACGAUGAGUGCUAAGUGUUAGAGGGUUUCCGCCCUUUAGUGCUGAAGUUAACGCAUUAAGCACUCCGCCUGGGGAGUACGGCCGCAAGGCUGAAACUCAAAGGAAUUGACGGGGGGCCCGCACAAGCGGUGGAGCAUGUGGUUUAAUUUCGAAGCAACGCGAAGAACCUUACCAGGUCUUGACAUCCUUCUGAAACCCUAGAGAUAGGGCUUCUCCUUUCGGAGCAGAGUGACAGUGGUGCAUGGAUGUCGUCAGCUCGUGUCGUGAGAUGUAGGGUUAGUCCCGCACGAAGCGCAACCCUUGAUCUAGUUGCCCAUCAUUAAGUGGGCACUCUAAGUGACUUGCCGGUGACUAUCGGAGGACGUGGGAUGACGUCCAAUCAUCAUGCCCUUAUGGACCUUGGGCCUACCACACGGGUGCCUACACAAAGGUACC
rnacentral:rRNA from 1 species